UCCUACGGGGGGCAGCAGUGGGGAAUAUUGGACAAUGGGCGAAAGCCUGAUCCAGCCAUGCCGCGUGGGUGAAGAAGGCCUUAGGGUUGUAAACCCCUUUCAGCGGGGAAGAUAAUGACGGUACCCGCAGAAGAAGCCCCGGCUAACUCCGUGCCAGCAGCCGCGGUAAUACGGAGGGGGCUAGCGUUGUUCGGAAUUACUGGGCGUAAAGCGCGCGUAGGCGGACCUGCAAGUCGGGGGUGAAAGCCCGAGGCUCAACCUCGGAACUGCCUUCGAUACUGCGGGUCUCGAGUCCGGGAGAGGUGAGUGGAAUUCCUAGUGUAGAGGUGAAAUUCGUAGAUAUUAGGAAGAACACCAGUGGCGAAGGCGGCUCACUGGCCCGGUACUGACGCUGAGGCGCGAAAGCGUGGGGAGCAAACAGGAUUAGAUACCCUGGU
rnacentral:rRNA from 1 species